rnacentral:rRNA from 1 species
CGCUCUGGAAAGUGCGGCCAUAGUGGGUGAUAGCCCCGUACACGAAAAUCUCUUAUCAAUGAAAUCGAGUAGGACGGAGCACGAGAAACUUUGUCUGAAUAUGGGGGGACCAUCCUCCAAGGCUAAAUACUACUGACUGACCGAUAGUGAACUAGUACCGUGAGGGAAAGGCGAAAAGAACCCCGGAGAGGGGAGUGAAAUAGAUCCUGAAACCGUAUGCGUACAAGCAGUGGGAGCCUACUUUGUUAGGUGACUGCGUACCUUUUGUAUAAUGGGUCAGCGACUUAUAUUCAGUGGCGAGCUUAACCGAAUAGGGGAGGCGUAGCGAAAGCGAGUCUUAAUAGGGCGUUUAGUCGCUGGGUAUAGACCCGAAACCGGGCGAUCUAUCCAUGGGCAGGUUGAAGGUUAGGUAACACUGACUGGAGGACCGAACCGACUACCGUUGAAAAGUUAGCGGAUGACCUGUGGAUCGGAGUGAAAGGCUAAUCAAGCUCGGAGAUAGCUGGUUCUCCUCGAAAGCUAUUUAGGUAGCGCCUCAUGUAUCACUGUAGGGGGUAGAGCACUGUUUCGGCUAGGGGGUCAUCCCGACUUACCAAACCGAUGCAAACUCCGAAUACCUACAAGUGCCGAGCAUGGGAGACACACGGCGGGUGCUAACGUCCGUCGUGAAAAGGGAAACAACCCAGACCGUCAGCUAAGGUCCCAAAGUCAUGGUUAAGUGGGAAACGAUGUGGGAAGGCUUAGACAGCUAGGAGGUUGGCUUAGAAGCUGAUGCGGUAGAGGAGCGUUCUGUAAGCCUGUGAAGGUGAGUUGAGAAGCUUGCUGGAGGUAUCAGAAGUGCGAAUGCUGACAUGAGUAACGACAAUGCGAGUGAAAAACUCGCACGCCGAAAGACCAAGGUUUCCUGCGCAACGUUAAUCGACGCAGGGUUAGUCGGUCCCUAAGGCGAGGCUGAAAAGCGUAGUCGAUGGAAAACAGGUUAAUAUUCCUGUACUUCCAGUUAUUGCGAUGGAGGGACGGAGAAGGUGAUGCGGUAGAGGAGCGUUCUGUAAGCCUGUGAAGGUGAGUUGAGAAGCUUGCUGGAGGUAUCAGAAGUGCGAAUGCUGACAUGAGUAACGACAAUGCGAGUGAAAAACUCGCACGCCGAAAGACCAAGGUUUCCUGCGCAACGUUAAUCGACGCAGGGUUAGUCGGUCCCUAAGGCGAGGCUGAAAAGCGUAGUCGAUGGAAAACAGGUUAAUAUUCCUGUACUUCCAGUUAUUGCGAUGGAGGGACGGAGAAGGUUAGGCCAGCCUGGCGUUGGUUGUCCAGGUUUAAGGUGGUAGGCUGGAAUCUUAGGCAAAUCCGGGAUUCUAAGGCCGAGAGCUGAUGACGAGUUGCCAUUAGGCGACGAAGUGGUUGAUACCAUGCUUCCAAGAAAAGCUCCUAAGCUUCAGAUAACUGGGAACCGUACCCCAAACCGACACAGGAAGGACUUGCUCCGUAAGCCCAUGCCGGUCGAAGAUACCAGGCCGCUGCGACUGUUUAUUAAAAACACAGCACUCUGCAAACACGAAAGUGGACGUAUAGGGUGUGACGCCUGCCCGGUGCCGGAAGGUUAAUUGAUGGGGUUAGCGCAAGCGAAGCUCUUGAUCGAAGCCCCGGUAAACGGCGGCCGUAACUAUAACGGUCCUAAGGUAGCGAAAUUCCUUGUCGGGUAAGUUCCGACCUGCACGAAUGGCGUAACGAUGGCGGCGCUGUCUCCACCCGAGACUCAGUGAAAUUGAAAUCGCUGUGAAGAUGCAGUGUAUCCGCGGCUAGACGGAAAGACCCCGUGAACCUUUACUAUAGCUUUGCACUGGACUUUGAAUUUGCUUGUGUAGGAUAGGUGGGAGGCUUUGAAGUGGGGACGCCAGUUCUCAUGGAGCCAUCCUUGAAAUACCACCCUGGCAACUUUGAGGUUCUAACUCAGGUCCGUUAUCCGGAUCGAGGACAGUGUAUGGUGGGUAGUUUGACUGGGGCGGUCUCCUCCCAAAGAGUAACGGAGGAGUACGAAGGUGCGCUCAGACCGGUCGGAAAUCGGUCGUAGAGUAUAAAGGCAAAAGCGCGCUUGACUGCGAGACACACACGUCGAGCAGGUACGAAAGUAGGUCUUAGUGAUCCGGUGGUUCUGUAUGGAAGGGCCAUCGCUCAACGGAUAAAAGGUACUCCGGGGAUAACAGGCUGAUACCGCCCAAGAGUUCAUAUCGACGGCGGUGUUUGGCACCUCGAUGUCGGCUCAUCACAUCCUGGGGCUGAAGCCGGUCCCAAGGGUAUGGCUGUUCGCCAUUUAAAGUGGUACGCGAGCUGGGUUUAGAACGUCGUGAGACAGUUCGGUCCCUAUCUGCCGUGGACGUUUGAGAUUUGAGAGGGGCUGCUCCUAGUACGAGAGGACCGGAGUGGACGAACCUCUGGUGUUCCGGUUGUCACGCCAGUGGCAUUGCCGGGUAGCUAUGUUCGGAAGAGAUAACCGCUGAAAGCAUCUAAGCGGGAAACUUGCCUCAAGAUGAGAUCUCACUGGGAUCUUGAAUCCCCUAAAGGGCCGUCGAAGACUACGACGUUGAUAGGUUGGGUGUGUAAGCGCUGUGAGGCGUUGAGCUAACCAAUACUAAUUGCCCGUGAGGCUUGACC